rnacentral:rRNA from 1 species
CAAGGAAGGAAGCAGGGGUUCCAGGUUUGGCGCCCCACGCCGAGCCGGGGAAGGAGGGGCAGGAAAAGAGCGCGUGAGCCGUGAGCCGUGAGCGUAUCAGUAGCGUAGAACCGACGAGUGGGGGGGCCGUGGACGUCUUAGGGGUAGGCGGAAGGUGAAGGUGGCUCCGCCUCCUACCGGAGGCUGCUGUCGUCGAGGUCGGUGGGGUGCCUCUUCUUCCUCCUCCGGCGGCGGCGGCGGCGGCCACCUCGACCGAAGCUGCUAGACCUCCUGGGCGCGAAGGUCACGACGCAUACGGACCUCGAAGAGAUAUUUGGUCAACAAUAACGUACACCAGUAUACAGUACAAAGACCACGCAGGUAUUUCGAUACGUAAUGCGGGCCCUUAGGGUAACACGUUAUACGUCCGUUGGCAUAUGAGUAAAGGGUUCAUAGACGGUUGAGGAGGUAGUGAACGAAAAUUUCGAACUUGGGCACCUUAUGUUUUUCUCCCUUUACCUUCAUGAUCUCGUUCUCUCCUCGCACCUAUGGAAAAGAGGUGUUUAGUAGCUCAAGAAUUUGAGGUUCUUGUUAUUACCACUUUUACCUUUUCUAACCCCGUUGUUCGAACUUCUACCGUUUUGACCUGGAGGUCCUCUUCAGAGUCAACUACUGUCAUGAUACUUGCUUGUAAGUUACUUUUAUUUCAAUCUACUACACAGAACAGGAUAGACGUUCCUCGACGACAUAGUUGGAUGACAAGAAUUGACACCAGUACACAUAACGUAUAGAACAAACGGAAGGCACCCACUACUUCGUAACUUUACAGUUCAGACACCUCCAGAAGUAGGACCUCUAAAAGGAUUACAAACAAAUCUAGAACUGGUGAAAGACCUUCUUAUAAAAGGUCGUCUUAUACUUAGUUCUGCGUUCUUUGAAGUCGAACUCUUAUCGGUUACGUUAGGACUUCCUAGUAGAAGUUCAUGAAGUACGUUCUUCCCUCGAAAACAUGUCUUCUGAGAUCUGAAUAGUUUACAAGUGUAACCUCAACCUACACUGAGUACGCCCCAGAUAGGCUAUGCUCCGUUCGCUAUGUUUACGUUCCUAACGUGUCUCCGUUAACCUAAGCUGGAAACGCCCCUUACGAUGCUGUCGUGAAGUUUCGAGGGUCCGGCGAAAUUAGUCGUCGUGUGUGGACUGGUGUCCUACCUUGAGCUAUUAAGUAGUGACAAACUGCGCAAGGACUCUAAGGUUCCCUAUGGGCGCCUCCCAGACGUCGUCGACCAUGUUGUUUACCUCGAGUAACCACGACCACCGUACCACGUCAAUCACCGACUACUACUUCUCUACCUCCUGUUAGUACUCCUACGAAUCAACGACAUCCUUGGUUCGUUCGUAAAGAUCGUCUCGACUAAACUCCUCGCUCGGAACUUUAUAACACCACUAGCCUAAUUUACUUACAUCGCACGAUGUAACAGGAACUAAGGAAAACCCAGGCUUCCAGUUAAUCAGAACAAAUACGAAAGCAUGUAAAUAAAUAAUGACAUAAUAUGAGGGAGGUAAGGUUUUAUAUCACGCGGACGCGAAGGGCUCCAGCUUGAAACUGGUAUUUAAAUUGCUUGCUCUGGCUGAUGCCGCCCACUUUUUUAAUGUAUUAAUUUUUGAAGAAAGCUUAUGCUUAAGUGACUAUAUUAAAAACGAGGGCGGCGUUAGCCAGAACCAUCAAUUUAAAUGCCAGUUUCAACUUCGUGCCUCUAUCUCCUUCGUGAUGUAACACCUUACCUCUCUCAUAAUCAGGAGACAGAAAUAUUAUUAUUUUUCUUU